UGGGGUGCUUGAGUGGCGAACGGGUGAGUAACACGUGAGUAACCUGCCCUUGACUUUGGGAUAACUUCAGGAAACUGGGGCUAAUACCGGAUAGGAGCUCCUGCUGCAUGGUGGGGGUUGGAAAGUUUCGGCGGUUGGGGAUGGACUCGCGGCUUAUCAGCUUGUUGGUGGGGUAGUGGCUUACCAAGGCUUUGACGGGUAGCCGGCCUGAGAGGGUGACCGGCCACAUUGGGACUGAGAUACGGCCCAG
rnacentral:rRNA from 1 species